AAACAGGAAAAACAUGUUUUAGGCAGCAUGUUUGUGUCAUUGUUAUGAUUUCCUGUCCAAACCAUAUCUCUCUAUGUUGUCUGUGGUGUCAUUGUUGAGUGCUGAUUAUCUCAGCUGUCAGCAGACCAAUGUUAAAAAAAAAACAUCUAAAGGAAGACCUCAAAUUAGCUGCACCCUGCAAAUAUGCAGCAUUUGUUCCUUCUCUGCGGCUGUGUUAGAGGUCAUCGGAUACAAAUGCUCACCACUGUUGCUUUUUAUCGACAUAUGGCAAUGACAAGCAUAUGAGUACGUCAGCCCUGCGGUUAACCGAUUCUGAUUCUCCGAGCUCCUAAUCGUGCAUCCCUCAGACAGCUGAAGUAGAGGACGGGCGCCGAGAGGAGGAAUGGAGGAUGAAGGAGGGAGGGGAGGAAUGUGUUUGGCAAAUCUGCAGGGCGGUAUGAGGAGCAGUGACGUGGAGGAGGAGAAAGAGAGGAGAAGAAGGUGAAGAGCAGGAAAUGAAGGAGAAAGAGAAGAUGGAAAAAAGAAGGGGAGAGGGGAGAAGAGAAGAAUGAAAGGUGGAAGGGGUGGAGAAGUGUCCUGUCCGGACACACUGCAGGCCCAUGAUUCUUAACUGUGGGAUAUCUGGAAUUCAGACUCAAUCACCCAACGGAAAUUACCAGACACGUGGGGGAGGAGAAGGGGGAGAUUGCAGGCUAAAAAUGUAAAAAGGACAGUACAUUCUGCCUUUGUCCUUUCCGUUUUGGAAAAAGUAUUGUGCAGAGAUGAAUCCUCUUCGUAAUCUUAAUUCUUGCACCAAAACUUAAAAAUGCAAGAGCUGAAUCAUUUUCUUAUGCAGGGGGCCUUUCUCAUGUUAAACUGCAACAAAAUCAUCUCAGGAAUUCUAUAUUAGAGGAAUUUAUACCAAAUUAAUCCAAAAACUCUUGAUAUCUUGCUGCUACUUCAUAUCUGAGUGAGAGAAAAUAUGGUACAGAACAGGUCACAUUAGACAAAAGCCUUCUUUUACAAUGGUCAUUUACACAAAGGGUGCUAUCCUUCCAGACAAAAGCACUUCCAGCUCUUAUCUUCAAUGUACUUGAUCACACCUGUUUAAACCUCACCAUACAGGUAGAUAUUUAACUUUGUGUUUACAGCUCUUUAUGGGGUAAGAGGGCAGUCAUUUAGGAAUUUAUAUGAGCUGGAAAUGUGAAAUCUAUUUGAAAUUGUGGAUUCCACCAUGGGUAGAAAUGCAGUGAAUGAUCCACCUUACUUGAAGGUUGGAUUUAGGCAUAAGGUUAAAAAUAACUAAAGAUGGUUUAGAAAUAGUUUAGGUUGUAAUUUGAGAUGCCUGGGAAUUCCUUUUCCCUUUGUAUGUAAAAUUUAAUUAUUAGAUUAUUAUUAUAAUAAUAUAAUUAUCAUCAUUUUAUUUGAUUAAUGUUUAUUUUUUUAUAGGGACACGUACUUAGCAUGGACCUAUGACACAUACCGCAGCAUCUAUAGUUUAAGCUAGUUUGCAACGCCUGCCCUUAGAUGGGCCCUAUUACAAAUACACACAACACAAUUGGAAAACAGAACAUUGCAAAACACAAACAAUUUUACAAUAAUAAUAAUACCAUCAAAACUAAAUGAAAAGCAUUCAUACCUACAUGUUAUUUGUAGAGAACUUUUCAAAAAUCAAGAAAAAAGUGACUCACAACAGUCAGUAAUAAUAAGAGCAAAUGGUAAAAAAUAUAUGCCAAUAAAAGACAUUAAUCUGGGACCAGUAAAAAAAAUGCAGUAAAAUAAAAUAAAAGGUAUCAAAAGACAACUAAAGUAAAAUGAAGCUAAAAAGACACCAUUGCUUACUUUAAUGGGAUUUUACUUGUGCAGCCUCACUUGGUGUGGUGAAACCAGUAGCUUACAGCAAAUGUGAGCUAAUGUUAUGAAUCAAUAUUUCUGUGUAAGAUACAUUACUGAGUCAGUCCACUGUGUGUAUGGCUCUUUUCUACUGUUCUUACACUGUUUUAGCAUGACAAACAGAAACAUUUGCUGUUUUCUGUAGUGGCCGGCCUCACUUCAUUUGCUUUCAGUCAGCUUGCCUAAUGAUUUUGUCUUCAAAGAAACUGAGAAUCUUGGGAAAUGAAGGGAAAUCCCAAUGUGCCUUUAUCUAGUUGCUGCUGUUCUGAAUAAAAUGACAUAAUCUCA